rnacentral:rRNA from 1 species
UAAUAUUAUGCACUUUUUCCAUAGUAAGACAUUGCAAUUUAUUAGUAUAUAUCAUUUUUUUUUUAUAAAAUUUGAUAGUUUAUUAUACGGCACUAUAUAGCAAGUUUAUUCGCUUUAUAUUAUAUUUUAUUAUAUAAUAUUAUUGAAUAAGGCUAUAAUAAAUGGUGACCCAAUAAACAGCUGAUAAAGUAAACAAUCUAAUUGCACUGGCAUACGCAAGUAUGUAACACGAUUUAUUUCAAUUAUUGAAAUUUGAAUGCAGUGUUAGUGUAUAUUUGAUUAGCAAUGCGAUAGAUUUGGGAUACCUUCGGGACCCGUCUUGAAACACGGACCAAGAAGUCUAACAUGUGUGCAAGUCAUUGGGUAUAAAUUGAUGAAACCUAAAGGCAUAAUUAAAAUAACUAUAAAAAAUUUUUAAAUGGGAUUAUGAGUGAUCUAAUUUAUGUAUCAUUCUUCCAUCCCGGGGCGCUCAUAUAUAAACAUGAUUUAAGCAAUUGAAUUCUCUGUUUGUGAGCGUACCUUAAGCAUACAUGCUGUGACCCGAAAGAUGGUGAACUAUACCUGAUCAAGUUGAAGUCAGGGGAAACCCUGAUGGAGGACUGAAGCAGUUCUGACGUGCAAAUCGAUUGUCAGAGUUGGGUAUAGGGGCGAAAGACCAAUCGAACCAUCUAGUAGCUGGUUCCUUCCGAAGUUUCCCUCAGGAUAGCUGGUGCAAUGAAAAUUAUAUAAAUAUAAUCUUAUCUGGUAAAGCGAAUGAUUAGAGGCCUUGGGGUCGAAACGACCUCAACCUAUUCUCAAACUUUAAAUGGGUAAGAACCUCAUCUUUCUUGAUGUGAAGAUAUAGAGGUUUAGAUAUAUUGUGCCCAGUGGGCCACUUUUGGUAAGCAGAACUGGCGCUGUGGGAUGAACCAAACGUGAUGUUACGGCGCCAAAAUUAAUGACUCAUAUUGACACCAUGAAAGGCGUUGGUUGCUUAAAACAGCAGGACGGUGGACAUGGAAGUCGUAAUCCGCUAAGGAGUGUGUAACAACUCACCUGCCGAAGCAACUAGCCCUUAAAAUGGAUGGCGCUCAAGUCAUAUGCCUAUACAUUACCGCUAAAAUAUAUAAGAUUUCAAGCCAUUUUAUUAGUGGAGAAAUUUUUUGAAAUUUUAGUGAGUAGGAAGGUACAAUGGUGUGCGCAGAAAUGUUUGGCGUAAGCCUGCAUGGAGCCGCCAUUGGCACAGAUCUUGGUGGUAGUAGCAAAUAAUCGAAUGAGACCUUGGAGGACUGAAGUGGAAAAGGGUUUCGUGUGAACAGUGGUUGAUCACGAGUUAGUCGGUCCUAAGCUCUAAGCAAAUGCUGUUUAAUUUAUGUU